rnacentral:rRNA from 1 species
UACAGAGGUCUCAAGCGUUGUUCGGAUUCAUUGGGCGUAAUGGGUGCGUAGGCGGCGCGGUAAGUCGGGUGUGAAAUCUCGGAGCUUAACUCCGAAACUGCAUUCGAUACUGCCGUGCUUGAGGACUGGAGAGGAGACUGGAAUUUACGGUGUAGCGGUGAAAUGCGUAGAUAUCGUAAGGAAGACCAGUGGCGAAGGCGGGUCUCUGGACAGUUCCUGACGCUGAGGCACGAGGUCAGGGGAGCAAACGGG